ACUCCUACGGGAGGCAGCAGUGGGGAAUAUUGCACAAUGGGGGAAACCCUGAUGCAGCCAUGCCGCGUGUGUGAAGAAGGCCUUGGGUUGUAAAGCACUUUCAGUAGGGAGGAAGGUAGUGUAGUUAACACCUGCAUUAUUUGUACGUUACCUACAGAAGAAGCACCGGCUAACUCCGUGCCAGCAGCCGCGGUAAUACGGAGGGUGCGAGCGUUAAUCGGAAUUACUGGGCGUAAAGCGCAUGCAGGCGGCCUGUUAAGUCAGAUGUGAAAGCCCGGGGUCUUAACCUCGGAAUUGCAUUUGAAACUGGCAGGCUAGAGUCUGUAGAGGGGUUAGAAUUUCAGGUGUAGCGGUGAAAUGCGUAGAGAUCUGAAGGAAUACCAGU
rnacentral:rRNA from 1 species